rnacentral:rRNA from 1 species
UACGUAGGGUGCGAGCGUUAAUCGGAAUUACUGGGCGUAAAGAGUGCGUAGGCGGUUCUUGAAGUCCGCUGUGAAAGCCCCGGGCUUAACCUGGGAAUGGCAGUGGAAACUGGGGGACUUGAAUUGAGCAGAGGGGGGUGGAAUGCCGCGUGUAGCAGUGAAAUGCGUAGAUAUGUGGAGGAACACCGAUGGCGAAGGCAGCCCCCUGGGUCAAGACUGACGCUCAUGCACGAAAGCGUGGGGAGCAAACAGG